CCUACGGGUGGCAGCAGUGAGGAAUAUUGGUCAAUGGGCGCAGGCCUGAACCAGCCAAGCCGCGUGAGGGAUGACGGUCCUAUGGAUUGUAAACCUCUUUUGUCGGGGAGCAAGGCCCGCCACGUGUGGCGGGAAGGAGAGUACCCGAAGAAAAAGCAUCGGCUAACUCCGUGCCAGCAGCCGCGGUAAUACGGGGGAUGCGAGUGUUAUCCGGAUUUAUUGGGUUUAAAGGGUGCGUAGGCGGAAGGUUAAGUCAGCGGUCAAAUGUCGGUGCUCAACACCGGCCUGCCGUUGAGACUGGUCGUCUUGAGUGAGGGAGAGGUAUGCGGAAUGCGUGGUGUAGCGGUGAAAUGCAGAGAUAUCACGCAGAACACCGAUGGAGAAGGCAGCAUACCGGCGCUCAACUGACGCUGAGGCACGAAAGCGUGGGGAGCGAACAGGAUUAGAUACCCCAGUAGUC
rnacentral:rRNA from 1 species